rnacentral:rRNA from 2 species
GUUGGGUAGGGGAGCGUUCUGUAAGCCUGUGAAGGUGGCCUGUGAGGGUUGCUGGAGGUAUCAGAAGUGCGAAUGCUGACAUAAGUAACGAUAAAGCGGGUGAAAAGCCCGCUCGCCGGAAGACCAAGGGUUCCUGUCCAACGUUAAUCGGGGCAGGGUGAGUCGACCCCUAAGGCGAGGCCGAAAGGCGUAGUCGAUGGGAAACGGGUUAAUAUUCCCGUACUUGGUGUUACUGCGAAGGGGGGACGGAGAAGGCUAUGUUGGCCGGGCGACGGUUGUCCCGGUUUAAGCGUGUAGGUGUGUGUUCCAGGUAAAUCCGGUUCACUUUAACACUGAGGCGUGAUGACGAGGCACUACGGUGCUGAAGCAACAAAUGCCCUGCUUCCAGGAAAAGCCUCUAAGCAUCAGGUAACAUCAAAUCGUACCCCAAACCGACACAGGUGGUCAGGUAGAGAAUACCAAGGCGCUUGAGAGAACUCGGGUGAAGGAACUAGGCAAAAUGGUGCCGUAACUUCGGGAGAAGGCACGCUGACAUGUAGGUGAAGUGAUUUACUCAUGGAGCUGAAGUCAGUCGAAGAUACCAGCUGGCUGCAACUGUUUAUUAAAAACACAGCACUGUGCAAACACGAAAGUGGACGUAUACGGUGUGACGCCUGCCCGGUGCCGGAAGGUUAAUUGAUGGGGUCAGCGCAAGCGAAGCUCCUGAUCGAAGCCCCGGUAAACGGCGGCCGUAACUAUAACGGUCCUAAGGUAGCGAAAUUCCUUGUCGGGUAAGUUCCGACCUGCACGAAUGGCGUAAUGAUGGCCAGGCUGUCUCCACCCGAGACUCAGUGAAAUUGAACUCGCUGUGAAGAUGCAGUGUACCCGCGGCAAGACGGAAAGACCCCGUGAACCUUUACUAUAGCUUGACACUGAACAUUGAGCCUUGAUGUGUAGGAUAGGUGGGAGGCUUUGAAGCGUGGACGCCAGUCUGCGUGGAGCCGGCCUUGAAAUACCACCCUUUAAUGUUUGAUGUUCUAACGUGGACCCGUGAUCCGGGUUGCGGACAGUGUCUGGUGGGUAGUUUGACUGGGGCGGUCUCCUCCUAAAGAGUAACGGAGGAGCACGAAGGUUGGCUAAUCCUGGUCGGACAUCAGGAGGUUAGUGCAAUGGCAUAAGC